rnacentral:lncRNA from 1 species
UUAUUUAGUUUUAAUGCAUUAAGCUGUAUUUUAACUUGUGUGUUGUAGGUGAGGCCAGUGAAUGGAGAAACAUGGUCUUUUGAAGCGAUCAGCUGGUUCAAGAGUAAAGUGCAGAACAAGACUCUUUAUGCCAGGCUUUACCCAGAAGAAGGAGAAGUUUUGGUUGAACUCUUCAUGGAGAAGGGAAAGAUUGGUGCUAUGAGGAGAGGAGACUCUCUGUCUGUGAGACUUGCUCAGAAUAGAUUUGCUGUUCAUGAACGUAACAAACCCAGGGGCCUGAAGAGAAGAAGAAUGUGGACUGUGCGCUUCAUAUUUUCCACAAAGAGAGUGAAUGCACAGAUGAUGACAGUUGAAAAGGACAUAUUCACAUUGUUACUGUACUCAGCCUACUCUACAGUUCCUGAUUCAUGCACAGACCUUUCUCUCCCUCGUAUCCAGCAGACCGCUGACGUGUGGAGUGGAGAAGUGACGCCUGAAGUUGCAUUGCUGGAAAAAACAGUUGUGUUUAGAGAUGAGGAACAUUAUGAAAACUGAAUUUAAGGAGUAAACAUUAACACUUGAGGAGCCAUAAACUAUCUCAAGGGCCAAAAUGUGAAAACCCUGGUUUAUAACUGCAUCUGUCUUCUCAAACUGCAGCAUAUGGGUGUCUGUUGACAUGUAUAGUCUGUUUUGGUUUUGUUUUCUCUGUUUCCUAUGUUAAUUUCCCAGUCAUCGUUAGUUUCCUUUGUUGUCAAUUAACACACCUGUUCUGUUUUCUGUUGAUGAUACUCUGUGUUUAAGCCUUCAGCUCAUGGUUUUCAUGUUGUUUCAGUUUAUGUGGUUUGCUAUUUCUCCUAAAUGUUUGUAAUUCUGAAUAAAGACUGUUUGUGGUGCUACUCCUUCGUUGUGUUGUGUGUGCUGCAGAACACGUUACAGUGGCUUUGGGCUGUUUAAAAAAUAGUAUUCUAAAAAAAAAAAAAAAUUUUGAAAAGCAACCAAUAAAGUUUUUUUUUCUUCUUUUUAUGCCUCAAAUGUUGUUCUGCUUGUCAAACUGAUCACUUGAAUGACA